AGUCGAACGAUGAAAGUCGUUUUGAUAUCUUCGGAUUGAUAAACUUCUGGAUUAGUGGCGGACGGGUGAGUAACGCGUGAGCAAUCUGCCUUACACAAAGGGAUAGCCUCGGGAAACCGGGAUUAAUACCAUAUGAUAUCUACGAGCCGCAUGGCCUAUAGAUUAAAGAAUUUCGGUGUAAGAUGAGCUCGCGUCCCAUUAAUUAGUUGGUGAGGGUAACGGCCCACCAAGAUAGCGAUGGGUAGCCGAUCUAAGAGGAUGACCGGCCACAUUGGAACUGAGAAACGGUCCAAACUCCUACGGGAGGCAGCAGUGGGGAAUAUUGCACAAUGGGGGAAACCCUGAUGCAGCGACGCCGCGUGAGCGAUGAAGGCUUUCGAGUCGUAAAGCUCUGUCCUAUGGGAAGAUAAUGACGGUACCAUAGAAGAAAGCCCCGGCUAAUUACGUGCCAGCAGCCGCGGUAAUACGUAAGGGGCGAGCGUUGUCCGGAAUUAUUGGGCGUAAAGAGUGCGUAGGCGGCAAAUUAAGUCAGAUGUGAAAACUAAGGGCUCAACCCAUAGAUUGCAUCUGAAACUGAUAUGCUUGAGUCAAGGAGAGGAAAGUGGAGUUCCUAGUGUAGCGGUGGAAUGCGUAGAUAUUAGGAGGAAUACCGGUGGCGAAGGCGACUUUCUGGACUUGAACUGACGCUGAGGCACGAAAGCGUGGGGAGCAAACAGGAUUAGAUACCCUGGUAGUCCACGCCGUAAACGAUGAGUGCUAGGUGUCUG
rnacentral:rRNA from 1 species